UGUCACUCUGACGGACAGCCAAAUUGUCCAACAGACAAGGUGAAUCUGCGCAGGAGACUCCGCCCACUGUCAAAUCAGCCUCCUGGUGAUUGAUUUCAGCAGAUGCGAAGCUUGCGCCGCUGAGCGAGGAAAAGACACUACCGCAGGCAUGCCACUGGCACGCAGUUUGUCGGUCACCUCCCUGUCUGGCCUGGAGGACUGGGACGAAGAGUUUGAUCGGGAGGAUGCAAUCCUCUUCGAGAUCGCAUGGGAGGUCUCUAAUAAAGUUGGUGGCAUUUACACGGUGAUCCAGACCAAGGCGCGUCUGACCUGCGAGGAAUGGGGUGAGAACUACUUUCUAGUUGGCCCGUAUAUGGAGUCCAAUGUCAGGACGCAAGUGGAGCUGAUCGAACCCUGUAAUCCAGCACUCAGAAGAACCAUUGAUAAAAUGAACAGCAGUGGGUGCAAGGUAUAUUUUGGUCGAUGGCUGAUUGAAGGCUCUCCAUAUGUGAUUCUGCUAGACGUGGGCUUCACGGCCUGGUCUUUGGACCGCUGGAAGAGUGAAUUGUGGGAGAAAUGUGGUAUUGGUGUGCCCUGGUUCGACAGAGAGGCUAACGAUGCUGUUCUCUUUGGCUUCCUCACUGCAUGGCUGCUGGGAGAGUAUGCAGCUCAGUGUGACGACCCUCCUCACAUCGUGGCACAUUUUCACGAGUGGCUGGCAGGUUUGGGGCUUGUCUUAUGUAGGCAGCGCCAGUUACCCAUAGCAACCAUCUUCACCACACACGCCACUCUGCUCGGCCGAUACCUGUGUGCCGGUAGCGUCGACUUCUACAACAACCUCGCAGAGUUUAAUGUGGAUAAAGAGGCAGGUGACAGGCAGAUCUAUCACCGGUACUGUCUGGAGCGUGCAGCAGCCCGCUGUACACACGUUUUCACCACCGUCUCUCAGAUCACCGCCAUUGAGGCCGAGCACUUACUAAAGCGGAAACCAGAUAUUGUGACUCCUAACGGUCUGAAUGUGAAGAAGUUCUCAGCCAUGCAUGAGUUCCAGAACCUCCACGCUCAGAGUAAAGCGCGCAUCCAGGAGUUUGUCAGAGGCCAUUUCUAUGGGCAUUUAGAUUUUAACCUUGACAAGACGGUGUUUCUUUUUAUUGCUGGACGCUACGAGUUCUCAAAUAAAGGAGCUGAUAUCUUUCUUGAAGCAUUGGCCAGACUUAAUUACCUUCUGAGGGUGAAUCACAGCGAGGUGACUGUAAUAGCAUUCUUCAUCAUGCCUGCUCGUACCAACAACUUCAACGUGGAGACCCUGAAGGGCCAAGCCGUGCGGAAACAGCUCUGGGACACUGCACAGACUGUGAAGGAGCGCUUUGGGAAGAAACUCUACGAAUCACUUUUAGUAGGGCAGUUGCCUGAUGUGUCUAAGAUGUUAGAUAAAGAGGACUUCACCAUAAUGAAGCGUGCCAUCUUCGCCACCCAACGACAGUGUCUGCCCCCCGUCUGCACUCACAACAUGCUGGAGGACAGCAGUGACCCCAUCCUCAACUGCAUCCGCCGCAUUGGCCUCUUCAACACCUCUCAGGACCGAGUCAAGGUGAUUUUCCAUCCAGAGUUUCUCUCCUCAACUUCUCCUCUCCUGCCGAUGGAUUACGAGGAGUUUGUGAGAGGCUGCCACCUUGGAGUAUUUCCAUCUUACUAUGAGCCCUGGGGAUACACACCAGCUGAGUGUACAGUGAUGGGUAUCCCAUCGAUCUCCACUAACCUGUCUGGGUUUGGCUGUUUCAUGGAGGAGCACAUUGCUGACCCAUCAGCUUACGGUAUCUAUAUUCUGGAUCGGCGGUAUCGUGGGGUGGAUGAGUCCUGUAAUCAGCUGACGUCUUUCCUGUUUCAGUUCUGUCAGCAGAGCCGCAGGCAGAGGAUCAUUCAAAGGAACCGAACCGAGCGCCUCAGUGACCUGCUAGACUGGAGAUAUCUGGGCAGGUAUUACAUUUCUGCCCGUCAUAUGGCUUUAGCGAAAGCUUUCCCGGACACAUACAUCUAUGAGCCUCAAGAACCCACUUCAGCCACAGGCUUCCGUUACCCGCGACCUGCCUCUGUGCCCCCUUCUCCCGCCCACUCGCUUCACUCGUCUCCUCAUCACAGUGAGGGUGAGGAUGAGGAGGAACUGUAUGAUGAAGAUCUGGAAGCAGAGAAAGACCGGGUCAACAUCCGCCAACCGAUUAUUGUACCGAACCGAAACAAGAAUCAUACAGUCGGUCUCCCUGAGAAAAACUAAAACACAGCCCUACAUGCAUACAUACACAAACUGUAGCUUAUACUGUGAGGCAAUAUAAUAUAUAUAUAUAUACCCACACACUUUAAACACAAUAAUACUCCCCUAAAAGUGAACGUAAUGCCUGCAAACAGUGUGUUUGCAUGUUGGUUUUCUGAAGAGAAAUAAAUAAGAUGUUUAAGUA